GGUUGCGAUCAUACCAGCACUAAUGCACCGGAUCCCAUCAGAACUCCGCAGUGAAGCGUGCUUGGGCGAGAGUAGUACUAGGAUGGGUGACCCCCUGGGAAGUCCUCGUGUUGCAACCC
rnacentral:rRNA from 2 species